CUUCACACCCCAUGGAUUUUUUCCCCCUUGAGACUAGAAAAGGACCUGCAAAACCAUUAACUUCCUUAGAGCUAGCAGCUGGAAAGGCGGGAAGCAACACUCUGAAAGCAAAAGAAUGGCCUCAUUUAUUUAUUUUUGAAAUGACACAUGUAAAACGUGACGACAUGGUCAAAACCAAAAUAUUUUUGAAAAGAGUAAGCAGUUAAAAAUCCCUGUUCCAGAGCCCCAAACUUAAUUCUCUCCCCAGGGAUAACCACUGUUAAAUUGGUGCAGGUCAACCUCGUCCCAAUCCCAAUCCCCCCCUCCUACCCCCACCCCCCAACCCCGCCCUCCACCUGAGGUCUCUGUGUUCUUCACCGGGAGCCUGUCCCACAGACAGGCCUUCGUGUUUGUCCUUCCCUCCACCUGGAAAGGCCCCCUUGCCCUUUCUUUUCUUUUUUGGGAAGGGAUGUUUUAUGUUUAUUAAGAUAUAAUGUUCACAUAGUAAUGUGCACAAACCUUAAAGUGUGCAGCUCAAUGAAUUUCUACAUAAUUUUUUGCAUAUAUAUUCAGCCAGAUCAAGAUGCAGAAUAUUUCCAGCAUGCCGGAAGGCUCCCUCAUGCCUCCCCAGUCGGUACCCUCCCCACAGACACACUCAUCCUUGUCUUGGGAGACAACUCAAAGUCACACCCAGGAUCUCCACGUCAAGCACAUUCUUCCCCCUCGGCUGCUCGUGGGAAACACAGGAAUCACUCUGGGACUACAACCAUCUUUCCUUUUCUACCAGGGAGAUCCCUGUGUCGGUGGUUUUAACACUUCUGGGCUCAUAGAUCUUUUCAAGAUGCUGGACAAAAUCUAUGGAUUUUACCUAGAAAAAUGCACAUGGCCACAAGGUGUCGCCUGUCGUUUCCAAAGGGUGCGGACUCUGAAACCCAUCCAAAGCCCUCAGGUUGACAGCCCCUGCCCUUUGGCCUGCACACCUCAUGCAGGUGGAGCUGAGAACCAGGAGCUUCCAGUACCAGGGAGGAGGAAAGGAGAGAGAGCCAAGAGACAAGGAAAGGAAGAGAAAGAAGAGGAACAGAGAGCACCCCAAAGGGUCCCAAGGCAGCUGUUCCCUCAAGACUGUCCAGCCUGCAGCUGCCAAGCUCAGAGGCCAGCCCAGCUACAGGAUCAGCUCAGCGUGGUCACUCUCGACCCCACUCCUCCCCUCCUCACUCCUUCUGUUCUCCAUUUCCUGUCCUGGGUGUUCCUUGUCGCCACCAGCAGUGGAAGAAGAUGAGACUGUGUCUGUGAGCAGAAGAGCAUCACUGGACUCAGCUGAGAAAACUGGGAGGAAGCUUCGAAUGGAUAUCUGCAUACUUGUGUUCACAGCAGCAUCAUUCACAGUAGUCAAAAGGCAGAAGCAACCCAAAUGCCCAUGGACAGAUGAGGGGGUAAACAAAAUGUGAUGUACACAGACAAUGGGAUAUUAUCCAGCCUCAAAAAGGAAGGAAAUUCUGACACACACUACAACAUGGAUGAACCUUGAAGACAUUAUACUAAUCGAAAUAAGCCAGACACAAGAGAACGAGUACAAUAUGAUUCCAUUAAUGUGAAGUAUCUGGAAUAGUCCAAUUCACAGAGACAAAAGGAGAAUGGUGGUUACCAGAGGCUGGAAGGGGUUGGGGAAGGGAGAAUUAGUGUUUAACGGGCGCUGAGUUUCAGUCUGGGGAGCUGAAAAAGCUCUGGUGAUGGAUGCCGGUGAUGAUGGCACAACUACCUGAAUGUACCUAGUGCCAAUGAACUGUACACUUAAAAAUCGUUAAAAUGAUAAAUUUUAUGUUAUGUAUAUUUUAUCACAAUAAAAAAUUUAAGGGCUGGCCCCGUGGCCGAGUGGUUAAGUUCGCGCGCUCCGCUGCAGGCAGCCCAGCGUUUCGUUGGUUCGAAUCCUGGGUGCGGACAUGGCACUGCUCAUCAGACCACGCUGAGGCAGCGUCCCACAUGCCACAACUAGAAGAACCCACAACGAAGAAUAUACAACUAUGUACCGGGGGGCUUUGGGGAGAAAAAGGAAAUAAUAAAAUCUUUAAAAAAAAAAAAAAUU
ensembl:lncRNA